CAGCUGGGAAGCGUCCAAUGAGGAACAUUGGAUACCAUCAUGAUCGAUUGGUGUCCCACUGGCCAAGCUGAUGAAACAUGAAAAUAGCAGUGAGGCCUGCCGUUCCUCCCUGAAAGAAUGGCGUGCACACCUAAUGAUGGAGAGAAGUCUGGAGGUGCAGCAGUGCUGACUGUGGUCGUAGCGGGGGAUGACAGAGCCACAAGCCAUGAUGACAGAUGUGAUGAAGAAGCCAAGAUGUGUCCAGUUUCAAAGUUGAAGAUUCAAGGUGAUAGUAGAAAAAGGUUUGAGCAGGCCACACCCUUGCCUGUUUACGGUGGGAUCUUCUAUAGCAUAGGGCCCUGUUUUGUUUUGCUGCCUUAAAGUUAAAUAUAAAGGGAUUACAUUUCAUUUUAUUCCUACAGAUCUACACAACCUAAUCCACAUUUUCAAAGUGAAAGUUUAUGGAAAAUUUUACAAAAAUAAAACUCUGAAAUAUCAUAAUUUGGAUAAGUCUCCACCCCGAGUUAAUACUUGGAAGCACCUUUGGCAGCCAUUAGUUGUGAAUCAUUUGGAAUAAGA